rnacentral:rRNA from 1 species
GACGAACGCUGGCGGCGUGCUUAACACAUGCAAGUCGAACGGAAAGGCCCUGCUUUUGUGGGGUGCUCGAGUGGCGAACGGGUGAGUAACACGUGAGUAACCUGCCCUUGACUUUGGGAUAACUUCAGGAAACUGGGGCUAAUACCGGAUAGGAGCCCCUGUUGCAUGGUGGGGGUUGGAAAGUUUCGGCGGCUGGGGAUGGACUCGCGGCUUAUCAGCUUGUUGGUGGGGUAGUGGCUUACCAAGGCUUUGACGGGUAGCCGGCCUGGGAGGGUGACCGGCCACAUUGGGACUGAGAUACGGCCCAGACUCCUACGGGGGGCAGCAGUGGGGAAUAUUGCACAAUGGGCGGAAGCCUGAUGCAGCAACGCCGCGUGCGGGAUGACGGCCUUCGGGUUGUAAACCGCUUUCGCCUGUGACGAAGCGUGAGUGACGGUAAUGGGUAAAGAAGCACCGGCUAACUACGUG